GUCCAUAUGAAGUUGUAUAUGGUUUAGCCUGCCCACUGAGAUAUUUAAAGGCCGCAGUAUUCUAACUGUGCAAAGGUAGCAUAAUAAUUUGUUUUUUAAUUGGAAGCUUGAAUGAAUGGUUGGACGAAGGAAAAUCUGUUUCUAAUUUAGAUUUAAAACUUUACUUUUAAGUUAAAAGGCUUAAAUAUUUUUAAAAGACGAUAAGACCCUAUAAAACUUUAUAAAAAUUUUUUAUUUGUUUUUUUUUAUGUGCUAUAAAUCAAAAAUAUUAGUUUUUAUUGUGUUGGGGAGACAGGAAUAAAAAUGAUAUUGAACUGUUCUUAUUUUAAGACAAAGAUGAUUGGAGAUAGAAAAGAUCUUCUACUUAGAGAUUAAAAGUUAAAGUUACUUUAGGGAUAACAGCGUAAUUUUUUUAGAGAGUUCUAAUCGAAAAAAAAGUUUGCGACCUCGAUGUUGAAUUAAAAUUUCUUUUUGGUGUAGAAGUUAAAAAAGUAAGUCUGUUCGACUUUUAAAAUUUU
rnacentral:rRNA from 1 species